rnacentral:rRNA from 1 species
UGGGAAUUUGGACAAUGGGGCAACCUGAUCCAGCAAUGCCGCGUGUGUGAAGAAGGCCUUCGGGUUGUAAAGCACUUUUGUCCGGAAAGAAAACGUCGUGGUUAAUACCCGUGGCGGCUGACGGUACCGGAAGAAUAAGCACCGGCUAACUACGUGCCAGCAGCCGCGGUAAUACGUAGGGUGCAAGCGUUAAUCGGAAUUACUGGGCGUAAAGCGUGCGCAGGCGGUCCGCUAAGACAGAUGUGAAAUCCCCGGGCUUAACCUGGGAACUGCAUUUGUGACUGGCGGGCUAGAGUAUGGCAGAGGGGGGUAGAAUUCCACGUGUAGCAGUGAAAUGCGUAGAGAUGUGGAGGAAUACCGAUGGCGAAGGCAGCCCCCUGGGCCAAUACUGACGCUCAUGCACGAAAGCGUGGGGAGCAAACAGGAUUAGAUACCCUGGUAGUCCACGCCCUAAACGAUGUCAACUAGUUGUCGGGUCUUCAUUGACUUGGUAACGUAGCUAACGCGUGAAGUUGACCGCCU